UUUCCUUUGACCUGCCCACUGCCUGCUGACAUUAUCAGAAGUGGUGGCCUGAUCCAAUCACAAUGCUUCCCCAUAGGAUUAGCUGAGACUGACAAAGAGGCAGAUCAGGGGCAGAGCCAGCACAAUUCAAACACAGCCCUGGCCAAUCAGCAUCUCCUCAUAGAGAUGAAUUGAAUCAAUGAAUCUCUAUGAGGAAAGUUCAGUGUCUGCAUGCAGAGGCUGGAGACACUGAAUGUUUGGAUGCAUUUUAGGCAGCCAUGACCCAGGAAGGUUCUCAAACAGCCAUCCGAGGAGUGGCCAGUGAAGUUAUCACUAGGCUGUAAUGUAAACACUGCCUUUUCUCUGAAAAGACAGUGUUUACAGCAAAAAGCCUGAAGGUAAUGAUUCUACUCACCAGAACAAAUUCAAUAAGCUGUAGUUGUUCUGGUGACUAUAGUGUCC